ACGGCAAGUUUGCUUCUGUUUCCACAAACACAUUUACUGUUCAGUGCCUUUGCAAACCAUACUUAAAUCAUCAACAAUUAAUAGAUAUGUCCAUAUCCAGUACUCAUUAUUGGGAAUGGGGAACUCAUCGGGAGUCCAGAGACUGAAAUCAUCCUCCCCCUAACCCCAAGGUUUAGGCAACAGAAUCAUGUUUACUCCUUGGGUAGGUAAUACAAAAGUUAAAUGCUUAUUUUUUGAAUAAUUUGCACAAAGCUUAAUACUGACAUUUUGAAAAUAGUUUCCUAUUUUAAUGAACAUUUCCUGAACAUCUGGUAGUGCUAUUAUGACAUUAAAAACUGACUUUUUCCUGUCCUUAAUUUAAGAAUGUUUUUUUCUUCUAUGCCAGAUGCUGAAAAUUAUGUUAAA
rnacentral:lncRNA from 1 species